CCCUGCCAUUUGUACACACCGCCCGUCGCUCCUACCGAUUGAAUGAUCCGGUGAAAACGUUGGAUCCGGGGUGGCCUCGGCCACGUCUGGAAAAGACGUUUAAACCUUAUCAUUUAGAGGAAGGAGAAGUCGUAACAAGGUUUCCGUAGG
rnacentral:rRNA from 1 species